rnacentral:rRNA from 1 species
AGCAGCCGCGGUAAUUCCAGCUCCAAUAGCGUAUAUUAAAGUUGUUGCAGUUAAAAAGCUCGUAGUUGAAUUUCGGGGUUAGUAGGUUGGUCAUGCCUCUGGUAUGUACUGGUCUCACUGAUUCCUCCUUCCUGAUGAGCCGUAAUGCCAUUAAUUUGGCGUUGCGGGGAAUUUGGACUGUUACUUUGAAAAAAUUAGAGUGUUUAAAGCAAGCUAACGCUUGAAUACAUUAGCAUGGAAUAAUGAAAUAGGACGUUCGAUCCUAUUUUGUUGGCUUCUAGGAUUGACGUAAUGAUUAAUAGGGAUAGUUGGGGGCAUUAGUAUUCAAUUGUCAGAGGCGAAAUUCUUGGAUUUAUUGAAGACUAACUACUGCGAAAGCAUUUGCCAAGGAUGUUUUCAUUAAUCAAGAACGAAAGUUGGGGGAUCGAAGACGAUCAGAUACCGUCGUAGUCUUAACCAUAAACUAUGCCGACUAGGGAUCGGAUGAUGUUAAUUUUUUAAUGACUCAUUCGGCGCCUUACG